GACGAACGCUGGCGGCGUGCCUAAUACAUGCAAGUAGGACGCAGUUGCGAACGGGUGAGUAACGCGUAGGUAACUACCUAUUAGAGGGGGACAACUAUUGGAAACGAUAGCUAAUACCGCAUACUAGUAGAUGGAUCUGCGUUGUAUUAGCUAGUAGGUAGGGUAAUGGCCUACCUAGGCAACGAUACAUGACCGACCUGGGAGGGUGAGCGGCCACACUGGGACUGGAGCACGGCCCAGAAUCCUUAGGGAGGCAGCAGUAGGGAAUCUUCGGCAAUGGGGGGAAACCUGAACGAGCAACGCCGCGGGAGUGAAGAAGGUUUUCGGAUCGUAAAGCUCUGUUGUUAAGGAAGCGGUACUUAACCAGAAAGGGACGGCUAACUACGUACCAGCCGCCGCGGUAAUUC
rnacentral:rRNA from 1 species